GCACCUUCGCAGCGCCCUGCACCCCGCCACCAUGUGCGAGCUGUACAGUAAGCGGGACACUCUGGGGCUGAGGAAGAAGCACAUCGGGCCCUCAUGCAAAGUUUUCUUUGCAUCGGAUCCCAUCAAAAUAGUGAGAGCCCAGAGGCAGUACAUGUUUGAUGAGAACGGUGAACAGUACUUGGACUGCAUCAACAAUGUUGCCCAUGAUCCGAAGCCAACGACUUAGCCUUACGCCUGGCUCGGCAGUUCAGAGGCCACCAGGAUGUGAUCACUCUUGACCAUGCUUACCAUGGUCACCUAUCAUCCUUAAUUGAGAUUAGCCCAUAUAAGUUUCAGAAAGGAAAAGAUGUCAAAAAAGAAUUUGUACAUGUGGCACCAACUCCAGAUACUUACAGAGGAAAAUAUAGAGAAGACCAUGCAGACUCAGCCAGUGCUUAUGCAGAUGAAGUGAAGAAAAUCAUUGAAGAUGCUCAUAACAGUGGAAGGAAGAUUGCUGCCUUUAUUGCUGAAUCCAUGCAGAGUUGUGGCGGACAAAUAAUUCCUCCAGCAGGCUACUUCCAGAAAGUGGCAGAAUAUGUACACGGUGCAGGGGGUGUGUUUAUAGCUGAUGAAGUUCAAGUGGGCUUUGGCAGAGUUGGGAAACAUUUCUGGAGCUUCCAGAUGUAUGGUGAAGACUUUGU
rnacentral:lncRNA from 1 species